rnacentral:rRNA from 1 species
UACGUAGGGUGCGAGCGUUGUCCGGAAUUAUUGGGCGUAAAGAGCUCGUAGGCGGUCUGUCACGUCGGAUGUGAAAAUCCAGGGCUUAACCCUGGACCUGCAUUCGAUACGGGCAGACUAGAGUUCGGUAGGGGAGACUGGAAUUCCUGGUGUAGCGGUGAAAUGCGCAGAUAUCAGGAGGAACACCAAUGGCGAAGGCAGCUCGCUGGGACGUGACUGACGCUGAGACGCGAAAGCGUGGGGAGCGAACAGG